GAUGAACGCUGGCGGCGUGCCUAAUACAUGCAAGUCGAGCGAACAGACGAGGAGCUUGCUCCUCUGACGUUAGCGGCGGACGGGUGAGUAACACGUGGAUAACCUACCUAUAAGACUGGGAUAACUUCGGGAAACCGGAGCUAAUACCGGAUAAUAUAUUGAACCGCAUGGUUCAAUAGUGAAAGACGGUUUUGCUGUCACUUAUAGAUGGAUCCGCGCCGCAUUAGCUAGUUGGUAAGGUAACGGCUUACCAAGGCAACGAUGCGUAGCCGACCUGAGAGGGUGAUCGGCCACACUGGAACUGAGAAACGGUCCAGACUCCUACGGGAGGCAGCAGUAGGGAAUCUUCCGCAAUGGGCGAAAGCUUGACGGAGCAACGCCGCGUGAGUGAUGAAGGUCUUCGGAUCGUAAAACUCUGUUAUUAGGGAAGAACAAAUGUGUAAGUAACUAUGCACGUCUUGACGGUACCUAAUCAGAAAGCCACGGAUAACUACGUG
rnacentral:rRNA from 1 species